AGACCCGUCUAGAACAACACAUUUCCCCUUUUUGACAUAGAUGAGAUUUCGUGAGUUGCAUAAGAGUUAAGGCAGUGCUGUCUAUUAGGUGGGGAGACCUUUUGGUAAGAAUAGCUUGCAUUCAUGGAUCCAGUGACUGGUGAGCAGUUGGAUUAUGAUGACGGAGACUAUGCAGGGAAUCAAAAGAUGCAAUAUCAUCAAGGUGGAGCUAUACCUGCACUUGCUGAAGUGGAAAUGAUUGGCGAGGAUGAUGAAUAUGAUGACCUUUAUAGCGAUGUUAAUGUUGGAGAGGGUUUCCUGCAAAUGCAGCGUUCUGAGACACAAGCGCCUCCUGUGGUAGCAAGUGGUGGGUUUCAAAGUUCGAAAGCUAAUGUUCCUGGAGCUCGAGUGGAAGCAGUGGCCUCGCAAGAGGUGAAAAAUGAAAGGGUUGCUAAUGAAGGAAAUUAUGCUGCUGCUUCAGUUCAAUUUCCUGAUCAGAAGAGUAGCUUGCCAGCCUCGGGGGGUCCGACACAGAUCGUGGAUGCCAGUCAAAGAGGGAGGCUCCCUGAAAUGGGGAAUAAUUCUCAAGCAGCACAUCUGGGAUAUCAAGGAUCAGAAAGUAUGCCUCACAAGAUUGCUGCUGAUCGGAUGAACAGUUCAGAAAAAGUAGUCAGUGAGCCUGCGCCGUUGAUGUAUCCUAACAUGGGUAACACAAAAGGUGUUCCACAGAUUCCACCUAACCAUAUGAACUCUAAUGCAAAUGUUAAUGUAAAUCGCUCAGUGGGUGAUGAAUACAUGGUAAGGCCAUCUGUAGAAAAUGGAAAUACAAUGCUGUUUGUAGGAGAAUUACAUUGGUGGACAACAGAUUCUGAGAUUGAAAGUGUGCUGAUUCAGUUUGGGAAAGUCAAGGAGAUAAAGUUUUUUGAUGAAAGGUCUUGUGGUAAGUCCAAAGGUUAUUGCCAAGUUGAAUUUUAUGAUUCUGCUGCAGCCUCUGCAUGUAAGGAAGGUAUGAAUGGUCACAUUUUUAACGGGAGAGCUUGUGUGGUGGCGUUUGCCACUCCACAGACCAUAAGACAAAUGGGUGCUUCUUACACAAAUAAGACUCAGGGCCAGACUCAGUCCCAACUGCAAGGAAGGAAUCCUGUUAAUGAUGCAGCUGGUAGAGGUAAUGGGUCUGAUCACCCAAGUGGAGACACAGGGAGAAAUUUUGGACGAGGUGGCUGGGCACGAGGGAACCAAGCACCAAAUAGGGGUCCUGGAUCAGGACCUAUGAGAGGAAGAGGGGGUAUGGUAAACGCGAAUAUGAUGGGGAAUGCACCUGGCGCUGGUGGUGGAACUUACGGACAAGGUAUUACUGGUCCUAGUUUCAAUGGAACUCCUGGUAUGAUGCCUCAUCAGGGCAUGAUGGGUCCUGGUUACGAUCUAGCAUUUAUGGGUCGUGGAACUGGUUACGGAGGCUUCUCAGGCCCUGGUUUCCCAGGGAUGCUUCCUCCAUUUCAAGCUGUUAAUUCCAUGGGGCUUCCUGGAGUGGCUCCUCAUGUCAACCCAGCUUUUUUUGGCCGAGGAAUGAAUCCCAAUGGAAUGAGCAUGAUGGGGACUGCAGGAAUGGUAGGACCUCAUUCAGGAAUGUGGAAUGAUACAAACAUGGGUGGAUGGGGAGGGGAAGAACAUGGAAGAGAGUCUAGUUACGGUGGAGAGGAUAAUGCAUCAGAAUAUGGGUAUGGAGAGGGAAGUCAUGACAAAGGUGUAAGGUCUAGUGCUGCUUCCGGGGAGAGAGAGAGAAAUUCUGAUCGUGACGGGUCUAGUGUUCCAGAGAAGCGGCAUAGGGAGGAGAGGGAACAAGAUGGGGACAGAUAUGAUAGGAACUCUAGACACAGAGAAGUGAAGGAUCGUAAUCGGGACUAUCGCCACAAAGAUCGUGAAUCGGGUUAUGAUGACGACUGGGAUAAAGGACAGUCUUCGAGAUCCCGCAGCAGAUCUGGUGCAGUGCAUCAAAAUGAUCACAGGUCUCGAUCUAGGGAUGCUGAUUAUGGGAAACGGAGACGCAUGCCAUCUGAAUGAUAUGAUGUCAUGGGACUUCGAAAUGUUUGACAUCGUCCACUAUGAUUUGUAGUGUCAUUUUGGAUCCUAUGAAGGAUUGCCUCAGGCUUCAAAGAAGAGCAGAGAACCAUUAAUUGCUACACUCUUGGAUAUCCAUGAAUGCUUUACUCUAUGAGUGCAAAGAAGCAUUUAUCAUGUAUGCAAUUGCUUUGUAUUCCUGAAGCAUAUACCAAAUAUUGAGUCGUGAUCUUGGAAGAAUUUGUAUGAAAAGUAACAUUUCAAUUCUUCAAGAAUAUUUUUGAGCAAAACCUGGAUGAUGCACUGUAGUUUCAUUAGUAUAUAUUCCAUGUAUUGGAUAUGUUCCCCACAUGUAAUAAUCUGAUCUACUAUGUGCACCUCCUCUUUGAGUUUGUAAAAGUGAUGUACUAUUUUUAGACCAUGUCUUCUGGUCAUGUAUGCUGAGGUUGUGGUUUGAGUUGCGAGUCUUGUAAGCUGCAUCAAAGACAUAAUGUGCUGAAACGUGAAAUGCUGCGGUGGCAGAAGAGUUGUGUCUGUAAAUGCUCUUUAUCUCCUGUAAGCUCAGACUGUGUCUGUAAAAUGUAAAUGCAGUGUAUCCGAUUCCCCUGUAAGUGUAAGCCUAAUUGAGUCGUGUCUGUAAAUGUUGUGUAUCCGAUUCCCAUAUGAGCUUGUUUAUGUGAUACUGUUUGUCCUCAUAUUGGAAAGCUCUUUUUCUCA